AAAAGAGACCAGAGAUGGCUUCAAGGACGACGUAUGUGGUAGAACGGUGGAAGAAGGCACGGCAGGAUUGUGCAGAAUGCAUUACGUGGAAUACCUCGGGCAGCUAAUCUUCAAGAACCACAUCGACCCGGUGCCCAUAUUCGACGUUGAAGAGCUGGAGCUGGUGCUGAAGCGCGCAAAUAUCCGGCUGCCGUCGCGCUACAAGCUGUCGGAUCGCGAAUACCAGGACGUCCUCAUCAAGGUUAUCAACACCGAUGUGCCACUGGAAAAAAGUGCUGGCUUAAACCAAUGACGCAAGGUUACAUCAUAAUGCGACGUCUUAGGGCCGAGGUGCAACACUAAGAACAUCAACUCUCGGUGUUCUGAAAAAA
rnacentral:lncRNA from 1 species